UACGUAGGGUGCGAGCGUUGUCCGGAAUUACUGGGCGUAAAGAGCUCGUAGGUGGUUUGUCACGUCGUCUGUGAAAUUCCGGGGCUUAACUCCGGGCGUGCAGGCGAUACGGGCAUAACUUGAGUACUGUAGGGGUAACUGGAAUUCCUGGUGUAGCGGUGAAAUGCGCAGAUAUCAGGAGGAACACCGAUGGCGAAGGCAGGUUACUGGGCAGUUACUGACGCUGAGGAGCGAAAGCAUGGGUAGCGAACAGGAUUAGAUACCCUGGUA
rnacentral:rRNA from 1 species